rnacentral:misc_RNA from 1 species
UCUUUCCUCUUAAAGAAGGCAAGAGAGACCAAGAUUUGUUGCAAGAAUUGGUGAGAAAAUGGGCAAAUUACAAAACUAUGACUCGAUGGCUUUCAAGGUUCUUCCAUUAUCUCGAAAGAUACUUCAUUCCCAUUCGACAACUCCCUUCACUUCAAGAAAACAGCUUCAUAGCUUUCUAUAACUUGGUGUACGGUGAAAUAAAUGGACAAGUAAGAAACACUGUUAUAUCUAUGAUCAAUCAGGAACGCAAUGGAGAACUAAUUGAUCAGGAAUUGGUGAAAAGUAUUGUGACAAUCUAUGUAGAGAUGGGAAUAGAAUCAAUGAAAUAUUACGAGCAAGAUUUUGAAGAAUCACUGCUCAAGGAAAGUGCUGUAUUUUAUUCAGAAAAUGCCUCUAAAUGGAUGCAGAAUGAGCCCUAUGAGGAUUACAUGUUCAUGGUACUGAAAAUAUAAUAAUUUUUUUCAGUAUUUUGUAUGCACAGAUUGCUCGAUUUUCAAUUUUCUUUUCUUGAUGGGAAUUUAGGUUGAAAAAUGCUUGAAGCGUGAGAAAGAAAUAGUUUCUUCUUACCUGCAAGCCACAACCCAAAAGAAGAUACUUCAGGUUGUUGAAAAUGAAUUGGUCAGAAAAUGCUAGUGAACUUGAAGGAAAGAAAUGGUUUGGUGAUGAUUUCUGUUGGCAAAUGAAUCGAUUUUGUAUUAAGAUUGUUAGGCCAUUAAUACUUGUUUAAUGGACCAUAAUUUUUAUUACAUUUCAUUAUAUGUAACUAUAUUUUAACAAACACAUGUAUUGAAUAAAUUCAAUUCUUGCUGAAAAUCUCA